rnacentral:rRNA from 1 species
GAAAGCAGUCAACUACAAUAAAUCUGACGGUCAGAGACGAAAGCUUGGGGAGCAAACGGGAUUAGAUACCCCGGUAGUCCAAGCCGUAAAUUAUGCAUGCUAGGUGUCUUGUUCACUUUAUGUGAGCGGGGUNCCGUAAUCUAACGAGUUAAGCAUGCCGCCUGGGUAGUAUAUUCGCAAGAAUGAAACUCAAAGGGAUAGGCGGGGGAACACACAAGCAGUGGAUUGUCUCGAUUAAUUGGAUAAUAAGCCAAGAAUCUUACCUAGACUUGACAUAUAUUGUGUCCUACGUGAAAGUGUAGUAAUCCCGAUUUUGUCGGGAUACGAUAUACAGGUGGUGCAUGGUCGUCGUCAGCUCGUGCCGCAAGAUGUCCAGUUAAGUCUGGGAACGAGCGCAACCCUCGUUGUUAGUUAGAAUGUCUAACAAGACUGCUCCGGCAACGGAGAGGAAGGAGAGGAUGACGUCAGAUCAUCAUGCCCCUUACGUCUAGGGCUUCAUAGACAAUACAAUGGAUAGUACAGCGAGAAGCGAUGCCGCGAGGCUAAGCAAAUCUCACAAAGCUAUCCCUAGUUCGGAUUGCAGUCUGGAACUCGACUGCAUGAAGUCGGAAUUGCUAGUAAUGGCGGGUCAGCAUACCGCCGUGAAUAUGUCCCUGUUCCUUGCACUCACCGCCCGUCAAACCAUGGGAG